CUCAGGAUGAACGCUAGCGGCAGGCUUAACACAUGCAAGUCGAGGGGUAACAGGUAGCUUGCUAUGCUGACGACCGGCGAACGGGUGCGUAACGCGUAUAGAAUCUGCCUUGUACAGGAGGAUAGCCUUUAGAAAUGAAGAUUAAUACUCCAUAAUGUUAAUGAAUGGCAUCAUUUAUUAAUUAAACAUUUAUGGGUACAAGAUGACUAUGCGUCCUAUUAGCUAGAUGGUAAGGUAACGGCUUACCAUGGCAACGAUAGGUAGGGGGUCUGAGAGGAUUAUCCCCCACACUGGUACUGAGACACGGACCAGACUCCUACGGGAGGCAGCAGUGAGGAAUAUUGGUCAAUGGAGGCAACUCUGAACCAGCUAUGCCGCGUGCAGGAUGACUGCCCUAUGGGUUGUAAACUGCUUUUAUACAGGAAGAAACCGAUCUACGUGUAGAUCCUUGACGGUACUGUAAGAAUAAGGACCGGCUAACUCCGUGCCAGCAGCCGCGGUAAUACGGAGGGUCCAAGCGUUAUCCGGAAUCAUUGGGUUUAAAGGGUCCGCAGGCGGUCAAUUAAGUCAGAGGUGAAAGCCCAUCGCUCAACGAUGGAACUGCCUUUGAUACUGGUUGACUUGAGUUAUACGGAAGUAGAUAGAAUAAGUAGUGUAGCGGUGAAAUGCAUAGAUAUUACUUAGAAUACCGAUUGCGAAGGCAGUCUACUACGUAUAUACUGACGCUCAUGGACGAAAGCGUGGGGAGCGAACAGGAUUAGAUACCCUGGUAGUCCACGCCGUAAACGAUGGAUACUAGUUGUUGGGUUUCGACUCAGUGACUAAGCGAAAGUGAUA
rnacentral:rRNA from 1 species